UACGGGAGGCAGCAGUGGGGAAUCUUCCGCAAUGGGCGCAAGCCUGACGGAGCAACGCCGCGUGAGUGAAGAAGGUUUUCGGAUCGUAAAGCUCUGUUGUCAGGGACGAGAGACUUAUUCAGGAAAUGGGAUAAGGAGGACGGUACCUGACGAGGAAGCCACGGCUAACUACGUGCCAGCAGCCGCGGUAAU
rnacentral:rRNA from 1 species